rnacentral:rRNA from 1 species
GAUGAACGCUGGCGGCGUGCCUAAUACAUGCAAGUCGAGCGAAUGGAUUAAGAGCUUGCUCUUAUGAAGUUAGCGGCGGACGGGUGAGUAACACGUGGGUAACCUGCCCAUAAGACUAGGAUAACUCCGGGAAACCGGGGCUAAUACCGGAUAACAUUUUGAACCGCAUGGUUCGAAAUUGAAAGGCGGCUUCAGCUGUCACUUAUGGAUGGACCCGCGUCGCAUUAGCGAGUUGGGGAGGUAACGGCUCACGAAGGCAACGAUGCGGAGCCGACCGGAGAGGGUGAUCGGCCACACUGGGACUGAGACACGGCCCAGACUCCUGCGGGAGGCAGCAGUAGGGAAUCUUCCGAAAUGGACGAAAGUCUGACGGAGCAACGCCGCGUGAGUGAUGAGGGCUUUCGGGUCGUAAAACUCUGUUGUUAGGGAAGAACAAGUGCUAGUUGAAUAAGCUGGCACCUUGACGGUACCUAACCAGAAAGCCACGGCUAACUACGUGCCAGCAGCCGCCGUAA